rnacentral:rRNA from 1 species
CAAAAAAAUCGAUCCGCAGUCGGUCUACGAAGAUCUUAUCCGUCGAUAGGAGCGAAAAUAGAGAACACAAUUGCGGAGUUAAUGAACGAAUAGCGGUGAAUAAAAGAACUGAAGGGGAAGAAAAGAAACUAAAAGGCGUUUGGAGCAGUUGUAUGAUCGUGUCUGUGGUGAUUAACGUUUAACGCUUCUUUAAAAAAGUAGCGAGAAUUAAAGGUGCUUGGCUUGGCACGCCAACAUUCAUCAUUACUGUUUAACGUAUGACUAUCAAAUAUUAAAAAAUGCGUAACAAUAGUACAAACGCAUUGACUUGAAUGGAGCGAUCAAGUCUUAUCAGUGGAUCACUUGGUUCGUAGAUCGAUGAAAAACGGAGCGAAAACCGUUAUAUAGCGUGAAUUGCAGACAUAUUGAACGCUAAGAUUUUGAAUGCAAAUGGCACAAACAGGUUUAUAUCUGUUCGUAUGUCUCAUUGAGGGUCGAUUAAUUGGUUAACGGCGAAAGGCAUUGAAUGCUUUUUCGACUAGCUAACUGCUUCCCACUGCAGUUACAUAUUCGGUAUGGUGUUGUUGUUUAUUAGUCAAAUGAGCUUAAUUACUAUUGGAUCAAAUCUUUGCAAAAGGUAUUAGUUUCGAUUGGCACACAUUGUCUACUGAGUGGGAUGCAUAUUUGUAUACGUAGACAUAUUCUGUGAAAAGUCACUUCUCAACUUUUGUCUCUACUACUGUGCGUUGAUUGACUCCUCCUUUGCUUAGAUGCGCAAUGCGCGAUAUCUAUUUGAAUAGCGACCUCACUUGAGGCGAGAUUACUCGCUGAACUUAAGCAUAUCACUAAGCGGAGGAAAAAAAAACUAAAAAA